GUGUCAUUACUAUAGUACGUAUGUAUUAUACUGAUCACACUUGUAUACAUAUCGUAAUGCGCAGAAUCCACCUCAAUCUAAAACUUUCCGAAUCAGAACCUAAUCCUGCUUUCGUCCCGACCAAGUCAUCAACUUUUACCAACCAAGUCGUCAACUCCUAUCAACCAAGUCGUCAACUCAUACUCACCAGAUCGUCCUCAUAAAAAAUAUUAUGGUUGUCUUCAAACACAAGAUUAUUGCAAUAACAAUAUUUGUAUUGGCCUGUGUAAUAAUUUACAGCAUGUAUUUGUACGUUUUUGAAAGAUAUAACACGAAAACAGAUUUGUUUCUACUUGGUAACAUAUUUACUUUUUAAUGAACUUUUAAUGGCGUUUUAAAUUCAUUUGAUCUUGUAUAAAUUUUGUAAUUAUCCACUGUUAUGCUAUAAAAGGGCUUAUGGAAUUGUAGUUAUAUAGUGAAAUCUGUACCUAUUAUAUCAAAAUCAAUCAAAACAAUUUAUUAAUUGAUGGC